UCUCGGGAGGUGAGGCCGGGCAGAUCCCGACGGCUUCCUCCGCGGCUAGAGCCCCACCUUCCUCCAUUCCCCACAGGAAGGGCGCUGGGAAGGCAGCGUCAGGCUGGUGACUGGGAGCCCGGGUGCCCGUCGCUGCUGAGGACGGGGUUGAGAGAAAAGGGAGAGAAUUGGGGAGGAUGGAGAGCCUGUUGGAGCCAAGAACCUAAGCGUUUGGCUUUUCUUCUCCCUGAGACUGAUGCACUGAGUUUCUGAAGGUGCUUCCUACAUGGUUGGGAACUUGUGCAUAUAUGUGAGAGGGGAUACUGAUCUGAGGGACAACAGAGCUGACCAUGGCUGAACCCCAACAGGAUGUGAGCGAGAAGCCAGCAGACACAGAGAGGCAGAAACACAGGCAGAGGGAGAAGCAGGCUCCUCGAGGGGAGCCCGAUGCAGGAUUCAAACCCAGGACCCCAGGAUCAAGACCUGAACGGAAGGCAGAUGGUCAACCACUGAGCCUCUUAGAGCCCUGGGUGCCAGAGGCUCUGAAAGGCUUCCCAGGAGAGGGGCUCGUUCCGUGGCCCAGAAUGCAGAGCACAGAGGAGACUGCAGAUCCUGCUGCCCUGGGAGAGGCUGGGGAGAGACUGGGCAGUGGAGAGAGUACUUUCUGAGCAUGGAGCAAGGCUGGCUUCUUGGGUCUGCAAUCACAGCAGCUGUGCAGGGCUCCACAUUUAGAAAAGGUCACACAUUUGGGAUUAAAAGCUCUGUGGUCA